rnacentral:rRNA from 1 species
UACGUAGGGUGCAAGCGUUAAUCGGAAUUACUGGGCGUAAAGCGUGCGCAGGCGGUUGUGCAAGACCGAUGUGAAAUCCCCGGGCUUAACCUGGGAAUGGCAUUGGUGACUGCACGGCUAGAGUGUGUCAGAGGGGGGUAGGAAUUCCACGUGUAGCAGUGAAAUGCGUAGAGAUGUGGAGGAAUACCGAUGGCGAAGGCAGCCCCCUGGGAUAACACUGACGCUCAUGGCACGAAAGCGUGGGGAGCAAACAGG